UGUAGCAAUACACUGAUGGCGACCGGCAAACGGGUGCGGAACACGUACGCAAUCUACCCAAAACUGAUGAAUAGCCCUCCGAAAGGAGGAUUAAUACAUCGUAACAUAAUGAAGUGGCAUCAUUUUAUUAUUAUAGCUCCGGCGGUUUUGGAUGAGCGUGCGACUGAUUAGGUAGUUGGCGGGGUAACGGCCCACCAAGCCUGCGAUCAGUAACUGGUGUGAGAGCACGACCAGUCACACGGGCACUGAGACACGGGCCCGACUCCUACGGGAGGCAGCAGUAAGGAAUAUUGGUCAAUGGACGCAAGUCUGAACCAGCCAUGCCGCGUGAAGGAUGAAGGUCCUCUGGAUUGUAAACUUCUUUUAUAUGGGAAGAAAUCCCGGAAUUCUUUCUGGGUUGACGGUACCAUAGGAAUAAGCACCGGCUAACUCCGUGCCAGCAGCCGCGGUAAUACGGAGGGUGCAAGCGUUAUCCGGAUUCACUGGGUUUAAAGGGUGCGUAGGAGGGCAGGUAAGUCAGUGGUGAAAUCUCCAAGCUUAACUUGGAAACUGCCGUUGAUACUAUCUGUCUUGAAUAUUGUGGAGGUGAGCGGAAUAUGUCAUGUAGCGGUGAAAUGCUUAGAUAUGACAUAGAACACCAAUUGCGAAGGCAGCUCGCUACACAUAUAUUGACUCUGAGGCACGAAAGCGUGGGGAUCAAACAGGAUUAGAUACCCUGGUAGUCCACGCCCUAAACGAUGGAUACUCGACAUACGCGAUACACUGUGUGUGUCUGAGCGAAAGCAUUAAGUAUCCCACCUGGGAAGUACGACCGC
rnacentral:rRNA from 1 species